GACGAACGCUGGCGGCGUGCCUAAUACAUGCAAGUAGAACGCUGAAGGAGGAGCUUGCUCUUCUGGAUGAGUUGCGAACGGGUGAGUAACGCGUAGGUAACCUGCCUGGUAGCGGGGGAUAACUAUUGGAAACGAUAGCUAAUACCGCAUAACAGUAGAUGUUGCAUGACAUUUGCUUAAAAGGUGCAAUUGCACCACUACCAGAUGGACCUGCGUUGUAUUAGCUAGUUGGUGGGGUAACGGCUCACCAAGGCGACGAUACAUAGCCGACCUGAGAGGGUGAACGGCCACAAUGGGACUGAGACACGGCCCAGACUCCUACGGGAGGCAGCAGUAGGGAAUCAUCGGCAAUAGACGGAAGUCUGACCGAGCAACGCCGCGUGAGUGAAGAAGGUUUUCGGAUCGUAAAGCUCUGUUGUAAGAGAAGAACGAGUGUGAGAGUGGAAAGUUCACACUGUGACGGUAUCUUACCAGAAAGGGACGGCUAACUACGUG
rnacentral:rRNA from 1 species